GGUCUCAUAGCUCAGUUGGCUAGAGCGUUGGCUGUACUGAAGUCAUCCCCUUGCUGGCGUGGGUUCGAAUCUCACCAAGGCCG
rnacentral:tRNA from 1 species